AAUUAGCUCAGUGGUAGAGCGUUCCGCUUACAACGGAAAUGUCAAAGGUUCGAUUCC
rnacentral:tRNA from 16 species